rnacentral:lncRNA from 1 species
CCACCAGCCUACACCACAGCCACAGCAAUGCAGGAUCUGAGCCGAAUCUGUGACCUACACCACAGCUCACGGCAACACUGGAUCCUUAACCCACUGAACAAGGUCAGGGAUUGAAGUUGUGUCCUCAUGUAUGCUAGUCAGAUUUGUUUUGCUGAGCCAUGACAGGGACUCCUACUAACCUAACCUAUUCUUAUUCAAUCUUUAAAGACUUCUAAGUGCAUAUUAAUUCUUAAGUUUUCAGGUUUUGAUAACUAUAAAUAUCAGAAAUAAAUAACUAUUUAGUGAUACAGAGCAAAAGCUUCAGAAUACUAUCUGUAUGGUAUUAAAAUUUUCAUUGAUCUAUCAGGCAGUAUAAAUUCACAUGAAUAUUUACUUUCAACACUUUCACAAUUGUUUACAUUUCAGGAUUUACAUGUCUGUAGUGAUGGAGACUAUUUUGAGAUCAUGUUUAAUUCUACAUUUAAAAUAUAAAGAAACUGAUAUCAGAAAAAUGGCUCAAGGUCACUUAGUUGGUUAUUGGCAGAGCUGACAUUUCAGUUUGCUCUAUAAUGUCACACUCAUAUUUGAGAAAGAAUGACUAAAAUUGCCCAAAGCCUUUAGAAUUUUUGCGUCCUUAUAGUUGAGUUAUUACUCUAGGGCCAAUUUGAGUUUAGUGAUAUUUAAUUUGUACCCCAGAAUCAUUCUUCUUAGGUUAAAACGAAAAGAGUAAAAAUAUAAACUACUUCUUAGCUUAGAUCUAACUGAUUAAAUAUCAAAUAUUACUUCAUAAUAUCAGCAAUGAUAUUUAAUUUAUAUACAAUUAAACUCCACUAUGAUAAUUGGAGUUUACCUUUUAGGCCCUUAUCUUAUGGAUGCCAUUUGAGUUAUGUGUCCACAUUUCAUCUUUAACCUCACCCAGGCUAGUAUUUGACAUAUUCACUCUGCAGUAUAAUCUCAUUCAUUGCAGUUGUUGCUGUGUAGUCAGUUUUCCUAACUGUGCUAAAAUAUUUGCCUAAUGAUGCUUUAAAUCCAAUUACCGCAUGCCUUCUGAAGGGGCAGCACAUGUUCAAAACAUAUCUCAGCUUCUCAGUUCCUUUGAUAAUGAAUCACUGAUUUCCUCUACAGACCAGAUGCAGGCCAUUAUAUUUUUGCCCACGUGUUCAAGGUAAUUUAGAGGCGAGAUGAGUUGCCCAGUUUCCCAGGUGCCCUGGCCAUUCACUCUUACAAUUGCUGUUAUAGUCCAGGGAUAUUUUGUAUAUUGAAGAUUCAGUUUGCUUCCUUGAAACACAGCCUUUGUGAGGAGAAUGAGCACGUGAAAGAGCUGGGCUUUUAGCCAACCAUUCACAUAUGAGCAUCAAAAAUCUAUUUCUGUUUUCUGAAAACUCGUAUCAUAAUCUACUUAAUGGAUGCUACCACCUUUCUGUGAUUCCAAAGCACUUUGAUAGGAAUAAUGACAUAUGAACUGUAUUUUAAAAAGCAGUUAUUUAAAUGAACAUUUAAAAAAAUAGCAUCCUUUUUUUGGAUUUUUUUUUUGGUGUUUUUAGGGAAGCACCCAUGGCAUAUGGAAAUUCCCAGGCUAGAGGUCUAAUUGUAGAUGUUAUGCCACAGCCAGAGCAACAUGGGAUCUGAGACACACUUGUGACUUACACCACAGCUCAUGGCAGUGCCAGAUCCUUAACCCACUGAGUGAGGCCAGGGAUCUAACCCACAUCGGAUACUAGUUGGAUUCAUUUCCACCGAACCAUGAUAGGAACUCCAGAAUCAGAAAUUUAAUAGUUUUAGUGACUACAGCCUACAUAAAAAUAUUUACAUGCAUUUUCCAGCCUUUGGUGUUAGGAUAUUUAUGUAUUUUUUACAUAAAGUCAUAGGAACUUUCUUUAAAUGUCUUAUUAAAAAAUGCAUGCUAAUACAUGGCCAUAAGGAAGUUAUAAGUCUCAAGUACAUAUAUCUAUAACUUUGUGUGACGACUUAAAAAAUCUAUGUAUCUUUUCUUGGGAUGGGAUUAAGAUGAUGGAGUAGAAGGACUGGAGCUCAACUUCUCUCCUAAAAACACCAAAAUUCACAACUAAAGACUAAGCAAUCUUCAACCAAAUGGACCACAAACCUUAAAAAAGAAAUCCUACUCCAGAGGACAAAGAGGAGGCUAUAUCAAGAGGUAGGAGGGGUGAUUCCCACCCCAUAGCUCCCAGGUGGGAAGCCCCACAGACUGGAAACUAACUGGUUCACAGAGACUCACCUACAGGAGUGAGAGUUCUAAGCCCCACAUCAAACUCCCACGUGUGGGGAUCUGGCACUGGGAGAAAGAGCACCUGGAGCAUCUGGUAUUGAAGGCCAGUGGGGACUGUGCACAGGAGCUCCAUGUGACUGGGGGAGAUGGAGACCCCAUUCUUUAAAGGGACACAUAGACUUUCACAUGCACUGGGUCCCAGGGCAAAGCAAAGUCUCUAUAGGAAUCUGGGUCAAACCUGACUGCAGUUCUUGGAGGACUUCCUGGGAAAGCAGGGCUGAAUGUGGCUUGUUGUAGGGGAAAGGACAUUGAAAGCAAAGCUCUCAGGAAUAUUCAGCAGAAUGCCUUCCUCUGGAGGUGGCCAUUUUGGGAAAAUCCCACCCAUCAGUGCUGAGAAGCCCCAGGCCAAACAACAAACCAGGUGGGAUCACAUCCCCACCCCUCAGUAAACAGGCUGCCUAAAGACCCCCCAGGCACACAGCCACCUCUAAUCCCAUCCAGAGACAAUCCCCCACCCACCAGAGGAAUAAGAAUCAGCUCCACUUACCAGUGGGCAGGCAUUAGUGCCUCCCAUCAGGAAGCCUACAGCAAGCCCCUGUGCCAACUUCAGCCACAAGGGGGGAAAACACCAGAAGUAAGAGAGGCUACAAUUCUAUUAUCCGUAAAAAAGAUCACCACACCAAAAAUCUAUCAAAAUGAAAAGACAGAGAACUAUAACUCAGAUGAGGGGGAAAGGAAAAACCCCAGAAAAACAGCUAAGUGAUCAGGAGAUUCUAAACCUCCAGGAAAAAGACUUUAGACUGUUGAUGUGAAGAUGAUGCAAGACAUUGGAAAUAAACUGGAGGCAAAGAUGGAUAACUUACAGGAAACACUGAGCAAAGCGAUCCAAAAUAUAAAACUUAAGCAAGAAGAGAUGCAAAAUCCAAUAACUGAAAUAAAAAAUUCAUUAGAAGCAGCCAACAGCAGAAUACAGGAGGCAGAAAAAUGAAUAAGCAAGGUGGAAGACAGAAUAGUGGAAAUUACGGAUGGAACAGAAAAGAGAAAAAUGAUUGAAAACAAAUGGAGAGAGUCUCAGAGAACUCUCGGACAAUGUUAAAUGCACCAACAUCCAUAUUGUAGGGGUGCCAGAAAGAGAAGAGAGAGAGAAGGAGGCAGAAAAAAUAUUCCAAGAGAUAAUAGCCAAAAACUUCCCUAACAUGGGAAAGGAACCACUCACUCAAAUCCAGGAAGCACAAUGAGUACCAUAUAAAAUAAACCCAAGGAGGAACACCCCAAGACACAUAUUAAUCAAACUGACCAAAAUUAAAGAUAUCUUCCAGGGAAAAGAAACAAAUAACAUACAAGGGAACCUGAUAAGGUUUUUGGCAGAUUUUUCAGCAGAAACUCUGCAGGCCAGAAGGGAGUGGCAUGAUAUAAUUAACGUGAUGAAAAGAAAAAUCCUCCAACCAAGAUUACUUUAUCCAGCAAGGCUCUCAUUCAGGUUUGAAGGAGAAAUCAAAAGCUCACAGAUAAGCAAAAGCUGAGAGAAUUAAGCAACACUAAACCAGCUUUACAACAAAUACUAAAGGAACUUCUCUAGGCAGAAAAGAAAAGACAGCAACAGGAAACCAAAAUUCCACAAAUGACAAGGCUCACCAGUAAAGGUAUAUAUACAGUAAAGAUACAAGAUCAUCCAUGCACAAUUAUGCCACCAAAAUCAGAAAUCAUGAGAAGAGGAGAGUACAGAUGCAGGACACUGGAGUUGCACUUGCAAUUCAGAGACCAACAACUUAAAACGAUCUCAUAUAUAUAUACAUAUAUAUAUACGUAUAUACAUAUAUAUAUAUAUAGACUAAUAUCAAAACUUCAGAAUAACUACAAACCAAAAAUCUUCAAUUGAUACACAAACAAAUAAGGAAAAUCAACUCAAAUACAACACUAAAGAUAGUCAUC